rnacentral:rRNA from 1 species
UACGAAGGGGGCUAGCGUUGUUCGGAAUCACUGGGCGUAAAGCGCAUGCAGGCGGAUUGUUAAGUCGGGGGUGAAAUCCCGAGGCUCAACCUCGGAACUGCCUUCGAUACUGGCAAUCUUGAGUCCGGGAGAGGUGAGUGGAACUGCGAGUGUAGAGGUGAAAUUCGUAGAUAUUCGCAAGAACACCAGUGGCGAAGGCGGCAUCCUGGACCGACAUUGACGCUGAGGAGCGAAAGCUAGGGGAGCAAACGGG